CGAUAUACAAGAUCUUUGCAAACUGAUCCCCAAACAAUGCGAAUUGAAGGGUGAUUACAACAAUGACAUAUUAAGUAAUAGACAUAUUUUAAUAAGGACGACUCUAUUGGAGGAUUACAUACACCUUCUAUCGAAAUCAGCCUUUUAUAUCACACAUCAAAGUUGAUCUUUCAAUGAGAAAUCUCAAAUGGGACCUAAUAUUCAAUCCGGAAGGGGAAAC
rnacentral:lncRNA from 1 species